AAUGCAGGUUGUUCUAUCGCUGUUCCAAUUUAGUUGGGAGAGAGGAAAGUCCGGGCAACGUAGGGCAUCUCGCUUUCUAACGGAAAGGAAUUUAGGAUUGAAAACCUGAAUUACGGAAAGUGCAACAGAAAAUAUACCGUCUUGAUUUAUCGAGAUAAGGGUGAAAACGUGCGGUAAGAGCGCCCGACAAUUGUAGGCGACUGCAGUUGAUUGUAAACCCCGAGAGUUGAAAGACCAAAUAGGCUAACAUCCUAGUUUUAAUUAGGAUAAAGGGCUGCCCGUCCGAUGUUAGUGGGUAGGUCGUUAGAGAUAGACGGCAACGUUUAUAGUGGAUUAAUGAUAGAAAUUCUAAGCAAUUAGAAAACAGAACCCGGCUUAUAGACCUGCAUUUUUU
rnacentral:RNase_P_RNA from 1 species